AUAUUUAAACACUGGUCCUCGUACGAUCAUCGAAGUUAAGCAGUGUCGAGCUUGUUCAGUAACUAGAUGGGUGACCGCUUGAUAAUACCAGAUGCUGUAAG